GAAAGAAGUUGCAGUUCAUUGCGCCAACUUGCUCACGUCAACCGGGAAGCUAUGAGUGUGGAUAUUAUACCAUGAGGCACAUGCAUAGAAUCAUAUCCGCAAACAUUGUUGACUCAUGGGAUAUGAUUUUCAAUGACACAUCUCCAAUGGAUCAAGGAGUCUUGAAGGAAGUUCGUGAGCAGUGGGCUUCGUUUCUUUUAAGUGUUUAUAUAAGAUGAUGUUAGGUGUUUUAUGACUUAUAUAGUAAUUCGUUUUGGAGUAGUAUUAUA